UCAGAUUUCAGGUCAAAACAG
rnacentral:siRNA from 1 species